rnacentral:rRNA from 1 species
GAGCACGCGCGUGUGGCAUAUCAAUAAGCGGAGGAAAAGAAACUAACAAGGAUUCCCUUAGUAACGGCGAGUGAAGCGGGAAAAGAGCUCAAAUUUGAAAUCUUCAAGGUUCUACCUUGACGAAUUGUAGUUUAUAGAAGUGUUUUCUGUUAGUGGAGUGGCAAAAGGUCUUUGGAAUAGGACAUCAUAGAGGGUGAGAAUCCCGUAUUUGGUCAUUCCUCCUAGCGUUGUGAUACACUUUCAACGAGUCGGAUUGCUUGGGAAUGCAGUCCAAAAUGGGUGGUAAAUUUCAUCUAAAGCUAAAUAUUGGCGAGAGACCGAUAGCGAACAAGUACCGUGAGGGAAAGAUGAAAAGAACCUUGAAAAGAGAGUUAAACAGUACGUGAAAUUGUCAAAAGGGAAGCGUUUGACACCAGUGUUGUUUUUCCGAAAAUCAAUUACGAAUGUUUUAUUUUUGAGGAGUUAUGACUUCAUCGGCUUGCUCCUUUCUUUAUGAAACUUUCUUAAUGCACUUUUCGGUUAACAAGUCAACAUCAAUUUCUUUUGUUGUAAAAGGGUAUGAGGAAGGUGGCUUGCUCUUCGGCGCAAGUGUUUAUAGCCUUGUAGCCCUCUGCAAUCGGAGAGAUUGAGGUCUGCAGCGUAGAUCCUUCGGGGUUAGAUACAUUUGUGCUAAGCUAUAGCCUUGUAUAGACAACUUGUUGACUAUGCUCAGUCAUGUAGCUUACUCGCUUAUGCUAUUUUACCUACGCUUAGGAUGUUGAGUAGCGACAUACGCAC